rnacentral:rRNA from 1 species
GACGAACGCUGGCGGCGUGCUUAACACAUGCAAGUCGAACGGUGAAGGGGGGCUUGCCCUCUGGAUCAGUGGCGAACGGGUGAGUAACACGUGAGCAAUCUGCCCUUGACUCUGGGAUAAGCGCUGGAAACGGCGUCUAAUACUGGAUAUGAGCUGCGGCCGCAUGGUCGGCAGUUGGAAAGAUUUUUCGGUCAGGGAUGAGCUCGCGGCCUAUCAGCUUGUUGGUGAGGUAAUGGCUCACCAAGGCGUCGACGGGUAGCCGGCCUGAGAGGGUGACCGGCCACACUGGGACUGAGACACGGCCCAGACUCCUACGGGAGGCAGCAGUGGGGAAUAUUGCACAAUGGGCGGAAGCCUGAUGCAGCAACGCCGCGUGAGGGAUGACGGCCUUCGGGUUGUAAACCUCUUUUAGCAGGGAAGAAGCGGAAGUGACGGUACCUGCAGAAAAAGCACCGGCUAACUACGUGCCAGCAGCCGCGGUAAGAC